ACAUUUUUUGUCACAUUUUUUUUUGUGUUUUUGUUUUCGCCACCAGUAUUCGGCGCAUUGGACUACCUAAUUUGGUUUGGGGGUCAGUUUCUGGCAUCAAGUCAGUCCCUCCUGAUCGCAGUUGCGGAGAAUCAAACUGAGGUCCUCUUUACAUCACUUUUUUUAAAGACACCUUCAACCAUUGAUGUUAUUGCUAUAUGCCAUGAUUUAUGUUGUUAUAUACCUAUACCAUAUUAAUUAAUACAAAUUCAAUUGAAAUUCUAUUAGCAAUAUGAUAAUUAUCAUUAAGUCAAAUUUC
rnacentral:lncRNA from 1 species